AAAUAGAUAUUUUAACAGUAUAGCCGCGAGGCUAUACGUUUUAUAUAUAUAAAUAUUUUAUAAGUAUAGCCGCGAGGCUAUACUGUAGAAGAAUAUUUUA
rnacentral:miRNA from 1 species